GAUGAACGCUGGCGGCGUGCUUAACACAUGCAAGUCGAACGAUGAAGCCCAGCUUGCUGGGUGGAUUAGUGGCGAACGGGUGAGUAACACGUGAGUAACCUGCCCUUAACUCUGGGAUAAGCCUGGGAAACUGGGUCUAAUACCGGAUAGGAGCGUCCACCGCAUGGUGGGUGUUGGAAAGAUUUAUCGGUUUUGGAUGGACUCGCGGCCUAUCAGCUUGUUGGUGAGGUAAUGGCUCACCAAGGCGACGACGGGUAGCCGGCCUGAGAGGGUGACCGGCCACAAUGGGACUGAGAAACGGCCCAGACCCCUACGGGAGGCAGCAGUGGGGAAUAUUGCACAAUGGGCGCAAGCCUGAUGCAGCGACGCCGCGUGAGGGAUGACGGCCUUCGGGUUGUAAACCUCUUUCAGUAGGGAAGAAGCGAAAGUGACGGUACCUGCAGAAGAAGCACCGGCUAACUACGUG
rnacentral:rRNA from 1 species